rnacentral:misc_RNA from 1 species
GCAUUAUCGUAAUAUAGACAUCGUCGUAUAUCUGACGCGUUCUUGCCCCAUCCCGAGUCCCGACUUCCAUUCCUUGCUGGUUCUCUUAACGCAGAAGAAGCUACCAAAUCAAACACGCACUGUCUUAUUAGGGUUUCUAAUCCCUAAACCUCGAUCCAAUUUAACCAGAAACUAGCACACAUCUUUCUAGACAAGAGAGGGGAACUCCGCACGCCGACAAAAAGAGAGGUCUUCACUGGCUUUUCAUGAUCGGAUUCGAUUCUAACAUCCAGUUCCUUAAACUUCCAGCAAAAGAGAAUUUUUCGGAGUUUUAGAUUGCAUCUAUUGUUAUAUUGCUUUAAUCGAUGGAUUUAGACGCUCAGGGAGGCAACAGUCGCGUGUUCCAUAGACUCGGCGCUCAGCCAGCGAACGACACCAGGCAGCAAAAGGUCUGCCACCAUUGGCGGGCAGGCAGGUGCAGCCGCUACCCAUGCCCAUACCUUCACAGAGAAUUGCCGCCCCCGCCGCCUGCCGGUUCUAACGGCAAUGCUUCUAAGCGUGGAUUUUCUAAUGAUUCGGGAUUUUCCGGGUCAUCUGGGACACGGAGAAGUGGCAAUUUUAGUAACGCGUCGUCUUGGGGACGAGUCGGGAAUAAUACGAUUUUGAGGAAGACUGAGAAAGUGUGUAAUUAUUGGGUUCAAGGUAAAUGUAGUUUUGGUGAUAAGUGCAGGUUCUUGCAUUCGUGGAGUUUGGGUGAGAGUUUUUCGUUAUUGACGCAGCUUGACGGUCACCAGAAGGUAGUAACUGGAAUUGCUUUGCCAUCUGGGUCAGAUAAGCUUUACACGGGGAGUAAUGAUGAAACCGUAAGGGUUUGGGAUUGCCAUUCUGGCCAGGUUGCUUUAUUUAGUUCUUAUUUUUAAAUUUUCGUUAAUUUGAUGUAGGCAUGUGACAAUUCCCCACCAAAACAAGAAAUUUUUACGUUUUCAAAGUUAUCAAUUCUUUUGGCACAUCAUGAGAAGGACAGUGUGUUUCUGAUGGACUUAAAAUGAAGUGUGUGACUGUUUUAAUGUUGUUCUUCUACUGAAUGAAUAACAUUGAAGUUAAUGCUCAUCUUUAAAUUUGGUUUAAAAAGUGAGACACUGGAGGAAAAUUGUUUCACAGUUUAAAUAUUUCUUCUGCUAAAGUUUGCAGUUUUUAACUAAACGGCAAAACUAUGUCUUCCCCUUACUAUAUGGGACUCGGGGUUUAAUUGUAGUUCUUAAUGAAAUGGCAAAACCUUUGCCUUACCUUGGUAUUUCCUAAUGUCUAGUAAGCAGGGUCAUUUAUGAAUUAUGAUGGUUUGGCUGUGUUCUUUUGCAGUGUAUGGGCGUGAUUCAGCUUGGAGGGGAGGUUGGUUGCAUGAUCAAUGAAGAUCCUUGGAUUUUUGUUGGUGUACCAAAUGUUGUUAAGGUUGGGCACAGGCAAAAUACCUUCAGUUUCUCGGAUUAUCAUGAUAUGUUUUCUCAUCAUUCUUGGCUAUCAUAGAAUAUGGUUGCAGAAUUUUAUUUCAUAGUAGAUACAUUAUCUUAGUUGUGUAUAGAAUGGUUUUGUGCCAUAGAAUUGGAUCUAAGAUGAUAAUUUUGCAGGCAUGGAAUACACAAAAUAACAUUGAUCUAAGUCUUACUGGACCUGCUGGACAAGUUUAUGCUCUGGUUGUGGGUAAUGACUUGCUCUUUGCUGGUACGCAGGUAAUCUCUUCAUGUAAAAGUAGAUUGUUCUUAAAAUUUAAUUUAUUCUCAAGUUCUUGCUAUAUGAAGUCAAUCAAAUAAAUUGAAGGAAAAAUAUGUCUUGCUUUGCUUAUGGCCAUCGUAUGAAUUAUGCUGUGUUUUAUGUUUGACUGCAAGCAGCAUUGUGUUUGCAGCUUAUAUUUGUUAAAGGCCAUGUGUUAGCUUAUAUAUGGCUGACUAUCAGACUUUAUGCUCAUGGAAUGAACAUAUUGUCUUUACCUUUAUCAUUUCUAUUGUGCAGGAUGGGGCGAUAUUAGCAUGGAAAUUUAAUGCAGUUACCUUUAACUUUGAACCAGCUGCAUCACUUACAGGUCACACCGUUGCAGUUGUUUCACUAGUUGUUGGAGCUGAUAGACUCUAUUCUGGUUCUAUGGACCAUUCUGUGAGGGUCUGGAAUCUUGAAACUUUGCAGUGCGUACAAACGCUAACUGAGCAUUCUUCAGUUGUUAUGUCUGUUCUUUGUUGGGAUCGGUUUCUUUUGUCAUGUUCAUUGGACCAAACAAUAAAGGUGUGGGCUGCUACAGAAAGUGGGAACUUGGAAGUAACAUACACUCACAAAGAAGAGCAUGUGGGUUAUUCAAUUUCAUAUUAUCUGUCAUGCAAAUAGAAUUUUGAUUUGUGAUGUCAGGUUAAUCAUUUGAUCGGAAACUAGUUGUUGAACAUGUUUAUGAAUUUGAUUUUGGUCUUAAUGUCAAAUGCUGGGCGCUUGUUCCUUGUUCCUUGUUCCUUUAUAAAGUGGAUCAUAUCAAAGUGCAAGUUUUUGAAUGUCAUAAUGUCAUAUAAGUGGAUAUUCGAGUUUAUGCAUUAUCUUAAAUUCGUAAUUAAUUGAUGUGGUCUUUAAUGGUAUAUGACCUGAAGAAGGGGUUAUGAGGAGCAAAUGAAAGUUCUUUUGGUGUGCACCUAUUGGUCUAGUUUAGUGGUAGGUACCUAUCUCAGCUUGGCCACAUUUCCAAGUUUGAGUCUCUUCUCCCCUACUUUGUUAAUAAUGAAGUGUAUAAUCAGAUUAAAGUGAAUCUUGAAUUUUGAUAACAUUAAAACCUGACAGUUGUUCAAUGUCCUUUCUAGGUGUUAAAAGUUUUUAAUUUUGUGUACUCUAUUGAUUCAAAUGCUUUCUUCUCAGAUAUCCAUUAGUUUAUAUUUGGUUAUAGGUUGUGUUAUGGGGAUUCAUGGCUUCAAAUUUUUUAGUUGCUGCUUGGCAUUGUACUCAUGCUUCAGUAAUUAUACUAGUUCUCAAAUGGAUCUAUUAAUGACUGUUGGAUUCCUGUUGUGUGCUUCUACAAAGAUGGUUUAUGACAGGCUAACCAAAAUGGCUUAUUUAUGUGGUAACCUGGAUUUAGGUAGUAUCUUUUGAAGGCUUAUUGCAUUUGGUGUCUUGAUGAUGGUUGUUGACUGUUAAAACAUUACCUGCUGCAGGGCCUGCUUACCCUCUGUGGGAUGCUUGAUUUCGAAGGCAAGCCAGUCCUGCUGUGCUCUUGUAAUGAUAAUUCAGUCCGCCUAUUUGAUUUACCAUCGUAAGGCUUUAGCUAUUAUUUUGCUAUUCUAUUACUGUAGUUCUGAAUUUCUUCGUUCUUUAGUAUAUAUAAACUUUAUAUCUCUAUUUGGGUUUUUACAAUGCUCACUAUUUUAUAUCCUUUCAUUUGAUUUUUCCUAUUUUAUCAAUUAGGUUUUCAGAAAGGGGUAAAAUCUAUGCUAAACAGGAGAUUCGUGCCAUUCAGACUGGUCCUGGGGGCUUGUUUUUCACUGGUGAUGGAACUGGUCAAGUGAGAGUGUGGAAGUGUGUAGAUGAACCAGCUACCACCGCCUGAUGACCAUUUUAAGUGUCAUCUGUGGACUUUCCGUUCUUUGGUUAUUCAAAUUUAUUCUUUUCUCAGGAUCUCUUGUGACGUAAUUCUGAGGAAAGGAGUAACAAGCAGAAAAAUGCGAGUCUUGCUUUCCUAGAGUCGGCUUGUGCCUUGGUAAUUAUUAUGGAAAAAGAGUUUGAUGGCUCAUUUCCAAGUUUGUAACAGUGGAGACAGCUCUCCAGUCUUCACCGAACUAAACUUGUAUUCAUAUCAUUUACUGCACUCGAUCAAUAUAUGUUCGUUAUGUUGAUGUACUCAUUCCUGGCCUUUACGUGCAUUAUGUCAGUAUGAAUAUGGGAUUUGAUGUUGCUCCUAUUUCAGCCUCCAGUGUAGCCCACCAAUGAAUAAAAUUUUCAAUUAUCAGCUUCCUCUUUCUACGUACAGAUAUGUAUUAUCUUUUAUCGGUCCUGUACUAUAGUUCUUGGAUUUUGUCAAGCAGCUCAUUAAAGAUUAAAUAAAUCUCCAUGAAUUAGCGAG